GUUUAAAGGAAUGCAAACAACCCAGAGCAUUUUUUCCUCCUAUCCUAGAACACAUCUGUGGUGUAGCCAGACCUUACUCCACAGCGCUGUGGAGAUCGGUUCGUGCAACAGUAUUUGUCCCCAAAAAACAUUUUAAUGCCAAAACCCAGAGAGUGUGAUUGUGUGAUCAGCUACAGUAAAACACUGGACAAGUGAAGGAGUGUGGCAAGACAGAAAGAAGUGCUACUUUGCUCAGACCCAGUGGAGUUAUUGGGCUUUUUUGUUGUAAGGGUCAAACCAUCCAACUGAACACCUUAUCAGGUGAUGGCGCUAAGGCACAUUUUUGUCGUUUGUCAAAUUGGGGUAGUGCUUUUAGACUGCUGCAGGGUUUGCCGCAGGGGGGACACUCAAAAAUAGGCAACAGGCCUGCGGUGAAAAGUUGAGACCAACUCAACUUUUGAAGAAAUGCAACCCCACGUCACGCUGCGGUGGCCAAUCAUGUAACUGGCGAUCAGACUUGUCGGUGUGAGUAUCCCGUACAGGAUACAGGAUACAGGAAACCGGAAACGUCACUGCCUUGAUCGCUGCCACAAGAAAGUUU